rnacentral:rRNA from 1 species
UAAGACGAACCGUCCUAACGUUGUUCGGAAUCACUGGGCUUAAAGGGCGCGUAGGCGGUCGGCAAAGUCAGGGGUGAAAUCUUUCGGCUUAACCGGAAAAGUGCCUUUGAAACUAGUCGACUCGAGCGAGAUAGGGGCAAUUGGAACUUCCGGUGGAGCGGUGAAAUGCGUUGAUAUCGGAAGGAACGCCGGUGGCGAAAGCGAAUUGCUGGAUCUCUUCUGACGCUGAGGCGCGAAAGCUAGGGGAGCAAACGGGAUUAGAUACCCCGGUAGUCCUAGCCCUAAACGAUGAGUACUAGGUUGUGGACUUGACAUGGGUUCACAGCCGAAGCAAAAGUGCUAAGUACUCCGCCUGGGGAGUAUGGUCGCAAGGCUG